UACGGGGGGGGCAAGCGUUGUUCGGAAUUACUGGGCGUAAAGGGCUCGUAGGCGGCCAACUAAGUCGGAUGUGAAAUCCCCAGGCUUAACCUGGGAAUUGCAUCCGAUACUGGAUGGCUUGAAUCCGGGAGAGGGAUGCGGAAUUCCAGGUGUAGCGGUGAAAUGCGUAGAUAUCGGGAGGAACACCUGUGGCGAAAGCGGCGCACUGGACCACAACUGACGCUGAGGCGCGAAAGCUAGGGGAGCAAACAGG
rnacentral:rRNA from 1 species